rnacentral:lncRNA from 1 species
UAGUGUCAAGAACAAGGGUUAUGUGUACAAGAUGAUUAUUUUUACGUAUGUUAUUUCUAUACAUUUUAAACUCCAAAUCUAUAAUCUUCUGUAAACGCCAAACUCACACACCUUGUUUGCCUCGUGUAGAAGGACAAGGUGCUCCAAACUAAUCCAUCCACCAACUCACUCGCGGGAAUUCAGUAGGAAAAGCUUGCAACCACCACACAUGCCAUAUUUAAAUGUUGAUGAGGAUGAUGCUAAGAAAAGAAGUAGCGUUGAUGCCUAGA